rnacentral:rRNA from 1 species
ACUUGCUUUCUUUGCUGGCGACCGGCGCACGGGUGAGUAACACGUAUCCAACCUACCCUUUACUCGGGGAUAGCCUUUCGAAAGGAAGAUUAAUACCCGAUAGCAUAAUGAUUCCGCAUGGUUUCAUUAUUAAAGGAUUCCGGUAAAGGAUGGGGAUGCGUUCCAUUAGGUUGUUGGUGAGGUAACGGCUCACCAAGCCUUCGAUGGAUAGGGGUUCUGAGAGGAAGGUCCCCCACGUUGGAACUGAGACACGGUCCAAACUCCUACGGGAGGCAGCAUG